GAUUGAUGUAAAUUAAAAGCCGCGUUUACUAGUUUCUAUCUCCGUAGACCAUUGAUAUUUUGUGUUUUGCAUAACUCUAGCAAUUGACUGAUAAUUUGGAUUAAUUAAGUAAAGAAUAAGUGUGAAAAUGGCUGAAGAGAAUAAUGAGGACGAUUCGUGGUUAUAUGGUAGUUCGAAUGAAACCCAGGAGAAUCCAGAUGGACAACCACAAAUAGAGAAUGAAAAAACAAUAACAGACGAUCAAUCAGUUGGCAUUUUCAAAUGAAACAGCACCAGAAGGCAGCAGAAAUGAAGAAUAACCCGAUGGUGUGAAUGAAUUGAAUCAGGAUGAUAGUUAUAUGGCAGAUUACUCAAUUGAUGCCGAAAAGGUAAACGGUACCUUCGAUGUGAAUGGUUCGGUUUCGGAGAAGAAUGAAAACGAUGACGACGACAGUGAUGAUGAUGAAGAUGAUAUUGUGGUUACGAUUGGUGACAUUCAAUCCGCAUCAAGCUGAAAUAUCAAACAACGCAGUGGGAACUUAUUGGUGCCAGCGUCAGCAACUGGUAAAGACAAACCGAAAACCUAUAUGGGCAAAUUCAGCAUCGAGGAAUUUGAAAGUGUCGGUACGAUUAGUGGACAAUCGGCUGUAGAAUAUAACAUCGAAGCAAUUGAAGAUAAACCGUGGCGAAAACUCGGUGCAGACAUCACUGAUUACUUUAACUAUGGAUUCACUGAAGAAACAUGGCGAGCGUAUUGCGAGUGACAGAAACGUAUGCGACACGAAAGUGGUGGUACAGUCGGCCAAAAGGUAAAUUCGAUGUUAACAUGUCACUGCCGCCACCACCAUUCAAUAUGAGCGGCAAUGAACCAUUCUAUCCGGAAGACAACUUCAGCUAUGGCUAUGAAUCGACGUAAGAACAGCAAUGGACAAAUGAUAACGUUGGUGAUGGAUGCCCUCGUGUGAUUUUGAAUUAAUUUUCGAAGCAAUGAGUACGUUUUGACAUCGAAUCAAAUUUCAGACGCUAUGAUGCCUCCGAGUAUGAUGAAUGUGCCACCUCAAAUGUUUCCCCCGCCACAGCACAAUACUUGUAUGGGAAUUGGACCACCGGGCAUGCCGCCAAUGAUGCCACCACCAGUGAUUAAUCCAUCAAUUCCACCGAAUCGUGGCAACGAUGACCAUCGCAACAACCAACAAAUGGAUAAAAGAAACGAUCCAGGCCCACCUCCUGGGUGGCGUACGCGCGAAACACUAGAUAAAGAACAAAAACAUUGUGAAGAUGAAAAGAGAAAAAGAAAAGAAAUCGUACAUUUAACAAACAGAAAACAAAAUAAACAAAUCAAACGACAAAUUUUCGUGUUUUAAGCCAUUGUUUUGUAAUUAUUUUCUUCUUUUUGAAACAAAAAAGUAGUGGGUAAAUUUUAUGAAAGAAUGGAUGUUUGAAUUAAAUAGAAAUCUAAUCGCGGCUUAGGUAAAUUAGUUGGUGAAGAUCUCGUUGGCCUUGUUUUCGAUGAGUUUUUCCAU